rnacentral:rRNA from 1 species
UACGAAGGGGCUAGCGUUGUUCGGAAUUACUGGGCGUAAAGCGCGCGCAGGCGGCCAUUCAAGUCAGGGGUGAAAGCCCAGAGCUCAACUCUGGAACUGCCCUUGAAACUGCAUGGCUUGAGUACGAGAGAGGUGAGUGGAAUUCCCAGUGUAGAGGUGAAAUUCGUAGAUAUUGGGAAGAACACCGGUGGCGAAGGCGGCUCACUGGCUCGUUACUGACGCUCAGGCGCGACAGCGUGGGAUCAACAGG